AAAAAAAAAAAAUGAUGAAGGACAAGCUCACCUAGAGAAGAGGUGUAAAACCUAAACUAAUAUGAUAAUGAGACUUACAGGAUGGAAAUUUGUGAUAGCGGGCAAAUUAGUAGAAAUGAAAUAACAUAAUAAACUGAACACAUGGUCUAAAUCUCUUAUUGAGCUGCUCCACAAUGUAAAUCACUUAUUUUCACAUACCCGCCAAUAUAAAUUCAUAUGGACAAAUUUGAUAUUUCAAUAUAACUUCCUUACCAUUUCUAAUUGCAUAAAACAUUCACUGGAUUUGACAACCUUAAAUAGGACAAACUUUGAAGCAAAUGAAUUGACCUUCCUUAAAGAGAAUCAGUAUCUUUUUCAAAGGGUAAUAUUUAGAAGUUUGACACUACAACAAACAAGAUAUAGCUCCAAACCUCCAAAAUUCACAUUUUAAACAAAAUGGCCAAAGGGAGCACUGUCAUUUUGGAUGCAAA
rnacentral:misc_RNA from 1 species